UUUCUUCUGCUUCUCCUUCUCUUCCUUCUUUUUUACAUGAUUCUCAAAUAAAACACGAUGUUCAGGCCGAAGAAAAAAGACACGAUCUGUUUAUCAGUUUCAGGCGCAAGGACACUAGACGCUGUUUUGUGCCCCAUCUGCGAAAGGAACUACUUCGGGAGAAAAUCAAACCCUAUGUAGAUGAGGACCUGAAGAGAGGAGCAGUAAUAUCUUCUUCGCUUCUGAGAGCAAUUCAAGAAUCGCAAAUUUCAGUCGUCAUAUUCUCAAAAAGCUAUGCCUCUUCAGCUUGGUGCUUGAAUGAGCUUGAAAAAAAUAAUCGAGUGCAAGAAUGUGAACAAACAGAUUGUUUUACCCGUUUUCUACGACAUAGAUCCCUCAAGUGUGCGGCAUCAAAGAGGCGCUUAUGAAGAGGCAUGUGCUCGUCAUGAAUUGAAGUUUAAAGGAAACGACUUGAAGGUGCAAAAUUAGAAAUCAGCCUUGAAGAAUGCUGCUGGCCUAGCUGGCUAUGUUUCAUCCCAUUUCAAUAAUGACUCUAAGCUCAUUGAUAAAAUCGUCGAAGAUGUUUCGUUAAGAUUGAAGGUUAUCCAUCCUUGUCCUAGUGAAUCAAAAGGCCUUGUUGGAUUGGCC